rnacentral:rRNA from 1 species
CGCGAGCUGGGUUCAGAACGUCGUGAGACAGUUCGGUCCCUAUCCGUCGCGGGCGUAGGAAAUUUGAGAGGAUCUGCUCCUAGUACGAGAGGACCAGAGUGGACUUACCGCUGGUGUACCAGUUGUCUUGCCAAAGGCAUCGCUGGGUAGCUAUGUAGGGAAGGGAUAAACGCUGAAAGCAUCUAAGUGUGAAGCCCACCUCAAGAUGAGAUUUCCCAUGAUUUUAUAUCAGUAAGAGCCCUGAGAGAUGAUCAGGUAGAUAGGUUAGAAGUGGAAGUGUGGUGACACAUGUAGCGGACUAAUACUAAUAGCUCGAGGACUUAUCCAAA